rnacentral:rRNA from 1 species
GAAUAUUGGACAAUGGGCGCAAGCCUGAUCCAGCAAUACCGCGUGUGUGAAGAAGGCCUGAGGGUUGUAAAGCACUUUCAAUUGGGAGGAAAACCUGUCGGCCAAUACCCGGCAGCUUGACAUUACCUUUAGAAGAAGCACCGGCUAACUCCGUGCCAGCAGCCGCGGUAAUACGGAGGGUGCGAGCGUUAAUCGGAAUUACUGGGCGUAAAGCGUGCGUAGGCGGUUAUUUAAGUCAGAUGUGAAAGCCCCCGGGCUUAACCUGGGAACUGCAUUUGAUACUGGGUAACUAGAGUUUAGUAGAGGAGAGUGGAAUUUCAGGUGUAGCGGUGAAAUGCGUAGAGAUCUGAAGGAACACCCAGU